GACGAACGCUGGCGGCGUGCCUAAUACAUGCAAGUCGGACGCAGUUGCGAACGUGUGAGUAACGCGUAGGUCACUGCCUAUUAAUGGGGGCUAACUAUUGGAAACGAUAGCUAAUACCGCAUACUAGUUGAUGGACCUGCGUUGUAUUAGCUAGUAGGUCGGGUAAUGGCCUACCUAGGCGACGAUACAUUACCGAGCUGGGAAGGGGAUGCGCCAAACUGGGAAUGAGGAACGGACCAGACUCCUACGGGAGGCAGCAGGAGGGAAUCUUCGGCAAAGGGGGGAACCCUGACCAAGCAACUACGGGGUGGUGAAAAAGGGUUUCGGAGCGGAAAGCUCGGUUGUGAAGGAAGCGGUACGUAACCAGAAAGGGACGGCUAACUACGUGCCAGCAGCCGCGGUAAUAC
rnacentral:rRNA from 1 species